UUUAUGUUGUAUCACCUAUAUGAGGAUAUCUACUAACUUCAGAUGCAUAUAUAAUGUAUUUGAUGACACACGGCAAACUACAGUAAGCAGUGUGUUGGGCUUGCAAGAUUACAGACACCGGUCUCUGUUUCCCUUUGCCGACGGAGUCUAUCGACAAGAGCGAUGGAUCUGGAGAUUGAUCAAGAGGUACCCACCCCUGCCUCUUGUCUUCGAUUGUUUUUUUUCUUUUGCUGUUGCUUACUUUCCUGCUUUCUUAUCGUAGGUUACCCCCCACCGGCGCCACCUUUUGUCGACC
rnacentral:lncRNA from 1 species